rnacentral:rRNA from 1 species
UACGUAGGGCGCAAGCGUUAUCCGGAAUUAUUGGGCGUAAAGAGCUCGUAGGCGGUUUGUCGCGUCUGCUGUGAAAACCUAAGGCUCAACCUUGGGCUUGCAGUGGGUACGGGCAGACUAGAGUGCGGUAGGGGUGACUGGAAUUCCUGGUGUAGCGGUGGAAUGCGCAGAUAUCAGGAGGAACACCGAUGGCGAAGGCAGGUCACUGGGCCGCAACUGACGCUGGAGGAAGCGGAAAGCAUGGGGAGCGAACAGGAUAGAA